rnacentral:rRNA from 1 species
AUUGAACGCUGGCGGCAUGCCUUACACAUGCAAGUCGAACGGCAGCACGGGGGCAACCCUGGUGGCGAGUGGCGAACGGGUGAGUAAUAUAUCGGAACGUGCCCUAGAGUGGGGGAUAACUAGUCGAAAGAUUAGCUAAUACCGCAUACGAUCUACGGAUGAAAGUGGGGGAUCGCAAGACCUCAUGCUCCUGGAGCGGCCGAUAUCUGAUUAGCUAGUUGGUAGGGUAAAAGCCUACCAAGGCGACGAUCAGUAGCUGGUCUGAGAGGACGACCAGCCACACUGGAACUGAGACACGGACCAGACUCCUACGGGAGGCAGCAGUGGGGAAUUUUGGACAAUGGGGGCAACCCUGAUCCAGCAAUGCCGCGUGAGUGAAGAAGGCCUUCGGGUUGUAAAGCUCUUUUGUCCGGAACGAAACGCGCUGAGCUAAUACCUCGGCGUAAUGACGGUACCGGAAGAAUAAGCACCGGCUAACUACGUGCCAGCAGCCGCCGUAA